CAGUUCCGUACAACAAGCCCAGGCAGUCACCGAAACAAAAGUGAGUUCAGCACCUGCAGACAGAGCCCCAGCUAUUAUAUAUAUAAUUUUUCAUUUUACAGGGACACCUUCAUGCACACCUAUGUCCAUCGUGGGACUCCAGCUCCUCUCCUCCAUCUCACCGCAUGGCUGCAUCUUCCCUGCAGGUGCAAUCCCAAGCACAGAGCAGAGCACUCACCCCAACCAACCAGUGGAUGCUGAGAGACAGACAAGGAGAAUGCAUUUUUGCCUCCAAGAAAGAAUGAAAAUUACAACCCUAUCUACAUAGCAAAGGAUACUUUACUCCAGGGUGCAGAACAAGAAGGCUGAAAGAAAUUCAGUGCAUUCCCAGCCCAUGUCUAUUGAUGAGCAGCUGGAACAAUACCAAAAUGCAGUGUAAGAUCAAUCCUGCUGUUUACUUCGCUGAGCUGAAGGAACAAAGGACAGAAGAAAGGACUUAAACCCAGCUAUAGUAAAAGAGUGGGGAUGAAGGAUGAAAAAUGUGCCUGAUGGGCAGUAGCACAGAGUAAACUCAUUUAGAAAAUAGGCAGCUCCAGCUGAGAUAAAACCAAUGAUGAUUUGUAUUUUGUACUGUAUCUUCAGGGGAUAAAAGCACUUCUAUCAGAUACCAUUGGAGGCAAACUUGAAACACUGCAGUAAAAUGCUAUGUUCCCUACUAGGGAGAGAAUAAAAAUUCCCAUAAUUGCAAAGGAGUGUUAAAUAUCUGAUUGUGCAUGCCUUUUGCCUCCCAUGGUGAGAUAACUCAACCCGGUCCUCUUUUUAACUUCACAGGACCUGUCUAAUGGAAUAUUCAGCUGGAUGCUUUUGUAUCAAAUGCAGCAUGACGCAGUGUUUUACUUUGAUAAAUACUGAUAAUUGUAAUUUGGAGGA